GGGGCUACCAUGCAGUCGAGCGGUAGCACGGGAGAGCUUGCUCUCUGGGUGACGAGCGGCGGACGGGUGAGUAAUGUCUGGGGAUCUGCCUGAUGGAGGGGGAUAACUACUGGAAACGGUAGCUAAUACCGCAUAACGUCGCAAGACCAAAGAGGGGGACCUUCGGGCCUCUUGCCAUCAGAUGAACCCAGAUGGGAUUAGCUAGUAGGUGGGGUAAUGGCUCACCUAGGCGACGAUCCCUAGCUGGUCUGAGAGGAUGACCAGCCACACUGGAACUGAGACACGGUCCAGACUCCUACGGGAGGCAGCAGUGGGGAAUAUUGCACAAUGGGCGCAAGCCUGAUGCAGCCAUGCCGCGUGUAUGAAGAAGGCCUUCGGGUUGUAAAGUACUUUCAGCGAGGAGGAAGGCAUUAAGGUUAAUAACCUUGGUGAUUGACGUUACUCGCAGAAGAAGCACCGGCUAACUCCGUGCCAGCAGCCGCGGUAAUACGGAGGGUGCAAGCGUUAAUCGGAAUUACUGGGCGUAAAGCGCACGCAGGCGGUUUGUUAAGUCGGAUGUGAAAUCCCCGGGCUCAACCUGGGAACUGCAUUCGAAACUGGCAAGCUUGAGUCUUGUAGAGGGGGGUAGAAUUCCAGGUGUAGCGGUGAAAUGCGUAGAGAUCUGGAGGAAUACCGGUGGCGAAGGCGGCCCCCUGGACAAAGACUGACGCUCAGGUGCGAAAGCGUGGGGAGCAAACAGGAUUAGAUACCCUGGUAGUCCACGCCGUAAACGAUGUCGACUUGGAGGUUGUGCCCUUGAGGCGUGGCUUCCGGAGCUAACGCGUUAAGUCGACCGCCUGGGGAGUACGGCCGCAAGGUUAAAACUCAAAUGAAUUGACGGGGGCCCGCACAAGCGGUGGAGCAUGUGGUUUAAUUCGAUGCAACGCGAAGAACCUUACCUACUCUUGACAUCCAGAGAACUUUCCAGAGAUGGAUUGGUGCCUUCGGGAACUCUGAGACAGGUGCUGCAUGGCUGUCGUCAGCUCGUGUUGUGAAAUGUUGGGUUAAGUCCCGCAACGAGCGCAACCCUUAUCCUUUGUUGCCAGCGGUUCGGCCGGGAACUCAAAGGAGACUGCCAGUGAUAAACUGGAGGAAGGUGGGGAUGACGUCAAGUCAUCAUGGCCCUUACGAGUAGGGCUACACACGUGCUACAAUGGCGCAUACAAAGAGAAGCGACCUCGCGAGAGCAAGCGGACCUCAUAAAGUGCGUCGUAGUCCGGAUUGGAGUCUGCAACUCGACUCCAUGAAGUCGGAAUCGCUAGUAAUCGUAGAUCAGAAUGCUACGGUGAAUACGUUCCCGGGCCUUGUACACACCGCCCGUCACACCAUGGGAGUGGGUUGCAAAAGAAGUAGGUAGCUUAACCUUCGGGAGGGCGCUUACCACU
rnacentral:rRNA from 1 species